GCUGGGCUUGGUAGCGUGAGCCUGUAACCCGAGUGGGAGCAUUAAGAAAGUGGAACAACUGGCCUUGCCCUGAAGGCUGGGCUUGGUGUGCUAUCUUCUGGCCUGCCCGUUCCAAGUGGUGAGUUGACUAAGGAGUCUCAGCGAAGGCAGGGGCUUCUCUGUCUUUAGAUCGGAGGGUGCCGCGUUAGGCUGGCUUCACAGAGCAGCGAAAACCUCCUCCUCUCUGCAGUGGAAGGAUAAUGGGCUGGUGCAUCCUCAGUCCACUAGUGCCUGAUGGGCUGCCUAAAUUGAACCACCAUCUUU
rnacentral:SRP_RNA from 1 species